rnacentral:lncRNA from 12 species
GCCAUCUGUGAAGUUGAAAGGCAAGGAAUUUUCCAGCCAGCAUUUCCCUCCCAAUGAUGCCUCGGCGUGUGUUGGACCAUCUUGAUACGUUCCGGAAUUUGACUGAUUUUCAUGGGCGGGACAGUGUGGGAGAUGGUUUUUGAUUUGUUGUUGUGGCGCAGUGCCAUUCCCGUGCUGCACUGGCAGUUUUUUGGAUCUGUGGGUACUUAUGCUGUUUUUGUGGUCUAGGAUGGUUGUUGGAAGGGUGUUGGAUUUGUGGCUUUUCUUGGAAGUUUUUUACAAAAUGUCCAAGUUCCCCACAGUAAAAGCAUCUGGCAUUUUCUUUGGAGGUCACUGCUCCUGUGACUCCUUCAGCAAUGCCUUUGGCAACUGCCUGGGCUACUGUGUUCUCAGUGGACAUGUGACGUGUGCAGGUUUCCACCAUCUGUUCAAUGGUGGGGUCUGUGUCAAGAGGCAAGGAUCUUAAAAUGGUUUUACAUUGAUCAUUGGCAUUGCUCAUAGCAAGUUUGCACAACAGUUCCUUUCGAGCCUCUGCACUUUCAAUUUGUUUUUGGGUUAGCAGGAGAUUGAGGGGAGGAGGAAAGGGACAG